UUCAGAGAUGAGAAUGUGCCUUCGGGAACCGUGAGACAGGUGCUGCAUGGCUGUCGUCAGCUCGUGUUGUGAAAUGUUGGGUUAAGUCCCGCAACGAGCGCAACCCUUAUCCUUUGUUGCCAGCGGUCCGGCCGGGAACUCAAAGGAGACUGCCAGUGAUAAACUGGAGGAAGGUGGGGAUGACGUCAAGUCAUCAUGGCCCUUACGACCAGGGCUACACACGUGCUACAAUGGCGCAUACAAAGAGAAGCGACCUCGCGAGAGCAAGCGGACCUCAUAAAGUGCGUCGUAGUCCGGAUUGGAGUCUGCAACUCGACUCCAUGAAGUCGGAAUCGCUAGUAAUCGUGGAUCAGAAUGCCACGGUGAAUACGUUCCCGGGCCUUGUACACACCGCCCGUCACACCAUGGGAGUGGGUUGCAAAAGAAGUAGGUAGCUUAACCUUCGGGAGGGCGCUUACCACUUUGUGAUUCAUGACUGGGGUGAAGUCGUAACAAGGUAACCGUAGGGGAACCUGCGGUUGGAUCACCUCCUUA
rnacentral:rRNA from 1 species